AGGAAAUCAGGGUGGUAUGGGGCGAAGGCCGAGAGGAUUUUAACUGUUCCCUUCAAGAUGUCUUUGAAAUAGAGAUCGAGAGAUACUUGAAGUGGUGUGGUAGUCCCCGACCGAUCCCCAUUGCAAUGUCCCUUGCAAGAUUUUCCUAAUGAAGAUUCUCAGGAUUACAGAUCCUCUAGCAAGGAGAUCAGACAGAUAGAAAUGACCACAGCAGAGGACAUACACCCCCCCCCUCCAAGCAAAAGAUAAUUCACAGUGGACUGGAAGUAAUUUUUACAUGAAAAAUACAAAGUAGAAAAAAG